CCUGGGCUUCCGUGGCCCCCGGCCUCUUCCCUCGGGCGGGGAUGGCGACGGUGCUGUGACUUUCCGGCCGCCGCGCCCCACCCCCCGGCCCGGUGCCGCGUACACAGUGGGCGCUCAGUACCCGAGGACGACGGGACCGAUCGGCCGUGGUUCAGCCCUCUGGGGACCCAGAUCCGAAGCGGGACCCGGCGAGAGCGGGUCCGCUCCGAAAGCACCGCGCGCCCAGCAGGUGCCGGGCGGGCUGCAAGGGCGGGAGAUGCCAGCGCUGAGAAGACACGCAGCGGCGUCCUCGGCGGGUCUGCGUGUGUGUGGCCACCGGCAACACUGACUCCCUUCAGAGCUCGUGACUCGGUGCUGCCAACUCCCCUGAACUCCAGGCCCACAUUUGGACAUGAGACACAUCGUCGUGGGCACAGAAGUCAGACCUUGAAGCCACCCUGCCUCCUCAUUCCCUACAUCUGGUCCUUGAGUGAAUUCUGUUGGCUCUCCCUUCAAAGUAUAUCCGGAACUGUGUUUGACUUGUUCCAGACUGCCACCCUGAUCCUGCUCUAGAUUUCAAAAGGCUAUAAGAAAUAGUAACUAACUGCAACGCAAAACGGAAAUACACGUAAAAAGAUGUUUGGAGGGACUCCUGUGUGGCUCAGUCGGUGAAGCGGCCGACUUCAGCUCAGAUCACGAUCUUGCGGUUUGUGAGUUCGAGCGCA